UACGGAGGUCUCAAGCGUUGUUCGGAAUCACUGGGCGUAAAGCGUGCGUAGGCUGUUUCGUAAGUCGUGUGUGAAAGGCGCGGGCUCAACCCGCGGACGGCACAUGAUACUGCGAGACUAGAGUAAUGGAGGGGGAACCGGAAUUCUCGGUGUAGCAGUGAAAUGCGUAGAUAUCAUGAAGAACUCCGAUCGCGAAGGCAAGUGUCCGGGGUGCAACUGACGCUGAGGCUCGAAAGUGCGGGUAUCAAACAGG
rnacentral:rRNA from 1 species